AGGAAACUUCCAUAAUUGGCAAUAUGGGUUGAGCUGUAAACUCAAUAGCAUGAAGCUUCUAUGAGUUCGAAUCUCUUGUUUCCUA
rnacentral:tRNA from 1 species